GGGGGGAGGCCGGAUCCUGGGCUGUGUCCCGGCGCCCUGUGCCUCGGGGCCUGCGCUGUUGGAUUCGCGCUCCCGGGCCGCGCAGCCCCCU
rnacentral:pre_miRNA from 1 species